rnacentral:lncRNA from 1 species
AGGCAAUUAGGUGGUUAAGAAACUUUCCAAGAUCGCAUAGUUAGUAGGAGACAGAACAGGAAUUUGAACUUAAGCAAAUGAUUCCAACUCUCAGCCCUUGAACCUUCUACUACUUCUCUCUCUCUCUUUUUUCCAAAACAGCUCUUUUACCAGGGAAAACCUGAAGACAACUACCAUCAUCUAUCUUGGACCAUUUGCUUUCAAUGAUCUGCUUGCUCUAAUAUCCCCAUGGAAACUGGAGAGUCGGGAUCAUUACAGAUGGGAGAACUGAGGCCUAGGGAGACCAAGUGACUUGUCAGGCAUUAGACAUGGAGCAAGUGACUGAGGCCUUAAGAGACCCUUAGGCCCACUGACUCCCAUGACUGAACAUGACAAUAAAAAGGACAAACCCUGCAGAAAAGAGAUGUGUCUUCUCCAUCUGUAAAAUGGGUACCAACUAUCACUGCUCUUUCAUAGCCCACAGCAUGCUCAACCACCCCCAAAGGAUUUAAAGGUUGCUACUGCUGCUCUCACUCUUCAGACUAAAGACAGUUCUUAAGCCACACAAAUGACUGCUCUGAUAUCCACCUUCUCCUAAUCCUACGUGUGGCCUAAAGCAAACACCGAAAUUCCCUUGACCAUACCUGGAUGUUGGCAGCAAAGAGAUGCAAGAUGAUGAAGCAAGCCCAGGCAGAGUGACAAGAAAAGCUACACCUGUACCUGUUUGUCACUAUUCCCUUUGCAGAGGGUGACAUCACUGUUUAUUUCUAUUAGAAUAACUCCUCAUGGGAGGGCCUCAAACUUGUCCUCUUUGCAGGAAGGCAAGUCGGAGAGAAGCCGACUCCUACUCAGUGCUCAGCCUCUGGAAAACUCUGGAACCAACCUAGCUGACCUCUGAGUUCAGGGACGAUGCAGCAGUAGCUUUGUUCCAAAUGUCUUACAACAUACACCUCUAAAGUUCCUUUGCCAUUGUCUGCUGCUGCAGCGGCCACCAGCAGAAAUGACCCUAAAUAGCCAUUCACUUCACAGUGAAUUUAGAGGGACUUGAUGCUGGAAAAUGCUUUUGACACAGUUCUAGUUGGAGAUGAAUUAAAAACAUGUUUGCUUAAAUAAUUG